AUGCACUUCAGACUUUUCUGCUGUGUGGCCCUUUUAUUCUGGACCACAGGCUCCAUGGGCACAGAGGUCAUCCAGAAUCCCAGAUAUCUGGUCAAAGGAAAAGAACAGAAAGCCAAAAUGGAUUGCACCCGCAUAAAAGGGCAUAGUUAUGUUUAUUGGUACUACAAGAAGCUGGGAGAAGAACUCAAGUUUCUGGCUUACUUUCAGAAUGCCGACAUCUUAGACAAAAUAGAUACGAUUGGUAAAAACAUUUCAGCCAAAUGCCCCACUGACUUACCAUGUACCAUAGAGAUCCAGUCCAGCCAGCUCACAGACUCAGCUGUGUACUUCUGUGCCAGCAGUCAAUCCACAGUGCUGACUGCUGGCUUUUCUUAG